rnacentral:rRNA from 1 species
UGCGUAGGUGGCGAGGUAAGUUUGAUGUGAAAUCUCCGGGCUUAACCCGGAAACUGCAUUGAAUACUAUUUUGCUGGAGGGUUGGAGGGGGGACGUGGAAUACUUGGUGUAGCAGUGAAAUGCGUAGAUAUCAAGUGGAACACCAGUGGCGAAGGCGAGUCCCUAGACAACUCCUGACACUGAGGCACGAAAGCUAGGGGAGCAAACA